rnacentral:rRNA from 1 species
UAACUGUGAAGGAAAACCUAUAUAAUCGUAAAGAAUAUAUACAUAAUACUACCUUUUGUCUCAGGGUUAAUCUAUUUAUAAAUAAAAAAAAAAAUUUCGAAAUCAUUAGAUCUAAAAAAAUAUGAAAUAAUUGUGGAAAAAAAAAAGAAAUUUUCUUUUAGUGGUGAAACUCCUACGAUAAUGAUAAUAUCUAAUUAAAGACGAAAUCCCCAAGGAUUCUCUUGUAUAAAUUAAAUUAAAUUGGGCCAGCUAAUUUAAUUCAAAUAAAACCAACAAAAACCAAAAAACUAGGCUUCAAAUUAGCCAAGUUUAUAAAUUGUAUUAAAUAAUAUUAUUUAACAUUAACAUAAUUUCGAACUAGUCUUUUAACCUAAAUAAUAAAUUCAUAGAUAAAAUAAUGAUUAAAUAAGUAUUAUAGACAAAUAAAAAGAACAAACUCAAUCUUUUAUUGACUGUUUAACAAAAACAUUUCUCUAUGAAAAAAUGAAGAGUAAGACCUGCCCAGUGAAAAAUUAAACGGCUGCGGUAUAUUGACCGUGCUAAGGUAGCAUAAUAAAUUGUUUCUUAAUUGGAAACUGGAAUGAAAGGUGUCACAAUAAAUAAAUAUAUUAAAUUUAAUAAAAGAAUUUUUACUUUAAGUAAAAAUACUUAAAUUUUAUAAAGGGACGAUAAGACCCUUGAAGCUUUAUUCCAAAAUCAAAGAAGUCGUAAUUAACACAUGACAUAGUGAAUUUAGUUGGGGAAACACAAUUACAAAAAUUAUUACAAAAAAAACUAGAUCUUAUAAAUACAAAAGAAGAGAAAAAGUUACUCUAGGGAUAACAGCGUAAUAAUUUUGGAUAGACCUUAUAUAUAAAAUUGAUUACGACCUCGAUGUUGAAUUAAAUAUCUUUAUAGAGCAAAAACUAUAAAAAGAGGGUUUGUUCAACCUUUAAUGAUUUACAUGAUUUGAGUUCAGACCGGUUUAAGCCAGGUCGGUUUCUAUCUUUUAUAAUAAACAUGUUUUUUAAGUACGAAAGGACCAAAAAAUUUUAAUAGUU